CACAAAUUUUAAGCGCCAGAGCCUAGUUUUGUGCACAAAAGUAUAAAUUUGCACGAAUCAGGCUGACGAGGAAAGAGAUUAUCGAAAUUUCGGCGGAUGUCUCUUCGCACGCUCCAGUGCGUUAUGUAUUGGCAAAUAUGCAGGUGACUGCAAAACAAAUUCAAUACAGUGGAGAUUA
rfam:Clostridium sp. CAG:75 genomic scaffold, scf491